CUCUCCUUCUCUAUCUCUCUCAGUCUCUCACAAGUUCACAACCCUAGAUCGCCAUUAGCACACCCUCGGCAGCGAUUCUUCGCUGUUCGCAAACUCCCGGCAGCGAACUUCGGCGGCGACGCUUUCAACAGAGAUUUAGAUAGAUCUUGCCGGAUCAGUGUGAAAUCCACCGUCGCACUCACACAUCUUCCUCCCCUUCAUGGCUUCAUUUGAAGAUAACUUACAACAAGUUGGAAUUUGAUCGUGAGGACGUAUUAAAUUGAACAACAGAGAUAACUCGAAGAAAGGCAAGUAGAAUCAGUAAGUUCACAAAAUCGCAGUUUUCAUUUCUUGA